rnacentral:rRNA from 1 species
ACUCCUACGGGAGGCAGCAGUAGGGAAUCUUCCACAAUGGGCGCAAGCCUGAUGGAGCAACACCGCGUGAGUGAAGAAGGGUUUCGGCUCGUAAAGCUCUGUUGUUAAAGAAGAACACGUAUGAGAGUAACUGUUCAUACGUUGACGGUAUUUAACCAGAAAGUCACGGCUAACUACGUGCCAGCAGCCGCGGUAAUACGUAGGUGGCAAGCGUUAUCCGGAUUUAUUGGGCGUAAAGAGAGUGCAGGCGGUUUUCUAAGUCUGAUGUGAAAGCCUUCGGCUUAACCGGAGAAGUGCAUCGGAAACUGGAUAACUUGAGUGCAGAAGAGGUAGUGGAACUCCAUGUGUAGCGGUGGAAUGCGUAGAUAUAUGGAGGAACACCAGUGGCGAAGGCGGCUACCUGGUCUGCAACUGACGCUGAGACUCGAAAGCAUGGGUAGCGAACAGGAUUAGAUACCCCUGGUAGGAUAGCG